AGAAGGACCUACAACUAGAAUAUACAACUAUGUGCUGGGGGACUUUGGGGAGAAGAAGAAGAAGAAAAGAAAAAGAAGAAGAUUAGCAACAGAGGUUAGCUCAGGUGCCAGUCUUUAAAAAAAAAAGAUGGCAGAGCUGGGAUGCCGAGAAUGACUUGAGAUGAUGGACACUCAGGAACAGAAUGACUCUGAAGCAUCGAAAAGGCAGCAAACCUGGAGCUGUUUGCAAAUCUUCUUGAGUUCCCCUUUAAAACUCACCAGCAAAUGCUGACCUGGGAAUUUCAAAACAGUAGACUGAAAUGAAGAUGCCAUCUCACCUCCUGGACUUGAACUUUAUGGCCCUGCAAUGGAGCCAUCCUACUCCGAGCUCCAGCACACCACUAGAGCAUCAAGCCCGGCUGUGGCCAUCUGAGGGCCACCAGGAUGAUGGAGAAGGGAUGACCCAAUCCCCCGGCUGGGCUUGCGUGUUUUCCUCUUGGAUGAAAGGAUGCUAAGUAUUAGAAGCCCAUGAACGUGAGACAGCCAGGAAGAGUUAUCAGUGGCCAGCUUCCAGAUGAAAGGAGAGAAGAGGAAAAAGGAGAUUUUCAGAACCCAGUUGUGUUAAACGUGGUAACAGAGGAGCCUAACAGUGAAGGAGGCAAAAAAGAUAAGAGGUUCCUGCCCCUGGGGGCAAGGCAUUCAGUUGCCACAUCAAUGCAUGGGCACAGCAAGGGAUGAACGCAGCUCUGCAGAGGCCACAGACGACCCACUGGGGUAGUGAGCAGCCCUGAAGUGCCAAUGCUGUUACAAGUCCUGGGCCAGUUACAACUACAAUCCCCGCCCCGUCCCUGGCCCACUGUCUAGUGGGGGAGGGGGUGACCAUGAGAGAGCAAAUAGUCAUACUGCUACGGAAGCACAGAGCUGGUUCCACGCAGACAGAUCCUGGAAGAUGUUCCCAGACAGACGCCAUGUCUGCCAGGUCCUGAAGUGGGAGAGGGCUCCCAGGAACUUGCUGCCAUUGGGCAGAACUGAUGGGGAUGGUGGGGGGAGGAAGGGAAGUUUGGAAACUCUUCAGGACGUAACAUGGAGAAGACUGGACACCAAAUGGUUGUGGGAGUGAAGGUCGGACAAGGUCAAAGGCGGCCCCGAGCCUCUUGGGAAACCAGGAUGUACUGACUGAGGAGCUGGUAGACAUUCUAACAGCAGGUCUCCGCCACCGCCCGCCCGUCAAUUGCCCCUCCAUUCACCUUGCCGUCCAGACGGUGCUGGGGAGACACAAAGCAUCUUGAGUACUUCCUCAUUACCUCAUGGCAGUGAAAAGAAGAUGGAUUUUCCACCGCCUACUUCCUUCUCCAGUGGGUAAACAUAGAGCGUCCUCAGCGUUUCUGCAAGAGCAGGAGUUUGAAAAAUGCAGUGAGCUCAAUCGUGCAAGCUCCUGAACAGACAGCUGGAAGACCCGUUUGUAUUUGGCCAAGUGAUCUUCAGAAAGGAGAGAUGUGGCCUUCCUCAAAAAGGCUAUCUUCUACAAAUCUCGACUUCCCCAAAAUUAGCCUGACCCACUGGCGGAGUUGCCUGCCUGUGUUGGGGAGAUGGCUAGACUUGAGUCAGUGUGGUCUUUUUUGUUUUUUUGCUGAGGAAGAUUUUCCCUGAGCUAACAUCCAUGCCAAUCUUCCCCUAUUUUUUUUUUUUUUUUUUUUUAGUAUGUGGGCUGCCAGCACAGGAUGGCUGCUAGCAUAUUGGUGUAGGUCCAUCCCUGGGAACCAAACCUGGGCCACCAAAGCAGAGUGUGCUGAACUUAACCACUAGGCCACCGGGGCUGGCCCAGUGCAGUCUUUACCUGUUUACUAGAUCCUGGGUGCUGGGAGGGAGACUGCGUGUAGCUUGGGAAUGUUACGGGGAGGAAGUAAUAGAAAAGCAUAACGUGGAAGUAACCAUUGCUAGAAUCCUCAUUUGCACCCACAAAUAGGCUGUAAAACUGCCUUUGAGCCCAUGGAGAUGGGUAUUAAACACAGUCAUUCUUCACUGGUAUUGCCAUCGUGUGCAUGUUUGUGUGCGCACAUGCGCGCGUCUAACGUCAUUUCUGCAGCUGGUGGGGCCCAGGCUGAGGCAGAGAGUUCACACAGCAGGAAGACUGUCUUGCCUCAGUCGCUUGGAAAAAGAGAAAAGAGGGCAGAAAGCCACAACUCAACAAAAAAGAAUCUUCUAAAAGCGAGAAAGACGUUUUAAGAGAGCUCUUUUGACGUAGAACUCAGGAAGGACAACUCGUUUGUUGAGGCCGUCGGCUCAGUGUCCUGCUACCAGAAAGCCCAGUGAAAUACUGCACAGUACUGGAAAGAUUUUGGAAACAAAAUUCAAUUCUGCAAACAUUACGAGGCAUCUUCUGUGCGCCAGAAAAUGUACUAAGUUCCUGGGGAUAAAAAGCUGAAUUGGGCAUGACCCUUUACUUCAAGGGGUUUGGAUCUGGGCAAUUUAAGUACGAAGACUGUGCAAGAGAAUAUGACACAAAUGGUUAUUUCUGGGGAGUGGGGUUACAGCUAAUAUUAUUUUUAACUUUUCAGAAAAUCAUAGGAUACUGUAGCUGAGUAGCUUGGUGGCUGUGAAGUGAGUGGCUGGUGAGGAGAGUGAAGCCGCCUCUUUUAACCUCCAUGCUCUUCUUGUCUUCCCCAGGAGGGGAGUUUGAAUUUAUCUCUGGGAGUAGAUUUGCCCGAAUUGGUUCUUUGGUUAUUCUACAGGAAGCCGAUCCUGCUUUAUAGUGAAGAUGACCCAGCUCUUCUUACUCAGUUCUCUUUGCUGACCCAACUACACCUUGUGAGGGUUCCGUCUCUUCUCAGUCUACAAUCUUGACCUCCAGUAUUUCAGCCAUGUCCGUGGCGGUCCAUUCCUUCUACAUGCCGAUCAUUUCUCGGUCCACAUCUCCAGGUCCAACCUCUGUUCUGAGCACUAGCCUCUUAGAUUCCCUGCAAACCUUUCCCAAAUAUACCCUCCAGUCUAUUCUCCACCCCUCAGCUGGACCGGUGCUGAAAACCCUUUAGAGGGUUCUCAUUGUUCUAAGGAUAAAAUCUAAAAUUCUUAACAUGCCUACAAAAGCAUGCAUGACUGGCUCUUAUUCGCUUCUCCGGGCGCAUCUCCUGUGGCUCUGGCCUUCCUCCCUUUCCUACAGUUGGCCCAGCUCUUGUGCACCCCGGAGCCUCAAAUCCACCAUUUUCUUUAUCUGGAAUCAUCCAACUCAAUCAUCCUUCAGAGCUCAGCUAAAAUGUUGCGUUCUUCAGGGGGCCCUCUCUAAUCCCUUAGAGCCAUGUCAACUCUCAUUAUAUGCUCUGUGUCUUUAGCAGAGACAUGGAGAAGAACGAUUUGUAAAACGAUCUGUUUACUAUCUAUCUCCUUCAGAUUGUAGCAAUUACAGAUUCCAGCCCUACGGCCUAACACAGUGCCAGUUGCUGAGUGACGCUCUGUAGAUGCACUAAUAAAUGAGUGAGAUUAGGAAUUAGGGGGCUGAUUUUCUCUUCCUAACAUAACAUGAAUGUUUAUUUUUGCUCUGAACAGAGCUGAGUGUCUGCAGAUUAUUUUUUGUUUAUUGGAGGAGGACUAAGGUUGACGGGGAGGAGAAACUUUUUUCUCUCUCCGCAAGGCCCUGGUAGCGUUGCAACCUGGACUCUGGUGGGGGCACACGCUGGUUCCCUCUCUGGGGCUCCUGCUAAGGAGAGAGAUGCCCAGAAACCUGUGGAUGGUUUUGCCUCUUUGGGACCAUUAUUUGGUUUUAAACGUUUUUCUUUUCCCUUCUGUAAGUCCCUUCUGUUUUCCCAAGCCUUCUGUUAAACGUUGACCCUCACGGCUUGGUCAGGGCUGUGCUGGGAGGAGCAAAGAGAGGCAAAGCUGUAGGGGACAACACAGAGACAACUUGCGGUCAAGGGAGUGGCAAUCAGGAAUGAAUGGCCAGCUGAGGGGACAAGUGCCAGCAGGGAGAGGGCUGUAGAAAUGAGAUUCUUCAUCUGGAAUGUGCAGGCGUAUUUCCGGAGGGAACUGGACACCGCCUGGACUCCAUGAAGUUCCAUAGUGUGCCGCCAUUGACUCAUUGCCUGUCAGCUCCAAAUCCAUCCUUUUUGCCUUCUCUGUAAAAAUGGAUCUGGGCCCUUUAUACCAUUUCCUCUGCCGGCUGGCAUGUUGUUAAGUCUCGUCCGUAGAGGGAGUGGGGAGACGGGGCAGGAGGCCAGAGCUCUGCCUGCUGGUUGCUUUGCUCUUGCAGCCGGCUCGGCAUUCUGGGCCGUGCCUCCAGCACUGGGAUCCUGCCAUGCAGGGCAGCCAGCAGCACCCAGUGGUCUCCAGCCAGCAUCUCCUGGCACCCUGCUCUUUGGGUGGUUUUGUGGUGAAGUGCUUCUGUGGGACACCUUUCCCCACACGCUAGACAGUAGAUUUGCAGUAAGUUCCACUGGCAUGAUACCACAGUGACAGAGGCUGCCAUAGUGAGCCAUGGCCAUGCUCUCCCAAAUGGAGUCUGGGUCUCAGCCCACGGAAGGGGGAGGCUCAUCCUUGGGUGCUCUUUCUUGGCUCUAAGGGUUAUGGCUGCUCCUUAAAUCUCCUAUUCCUAUUUUCUUUUGUAUUUUCUUUACUUCUUACUAGUCAAUCCCUCAUUGCUCCAAAGCCUGUUGUAGUUAAUAAUUUUUUUUGUGUGAGGAAGAUUUGUCCUGAGUUAACAUACAUUGCCAAUCCUCCUCUUUUUUUUUUCUUUCUUGAAGAAGAUCAGCCCUGAGCCAACAUCUGCACCAAUCUUCCUCCACUGUGUAUGUGGGAUGCCUCCACAGCAUGGCUGAUGAGUGGAGUAGGUCCACACCCAUGAUCCAAACCCAUGAACCUGGGCCGCCAAAGCAGAGCACACGGAACUUUAACCACG
rnacentral:lncRNA from 1 species